GAUGAACGUUGGCGGCAUGGAUUAGGCAUGCAAGUCGAGCGAGAAGUGUAGCAAUACACGGAAAGCGGCGGAAGGGAGAGUAAUACGUGGGAAUCUGCCCUUAGACCUGGGAUAGCAGCGGGAAACUGCUGGUAAUACCAGAUAAUAUCUAUGGACCAAAGGUGUGAUUCCGUCUAGGGAUGAGCCCACGUCCUAUUAGCUAGUUGGUAGGGUAAUGGCCUACCAAGGCGAUGAUGGGUAGCGGGUGUGAGAGCAUGACCCGCCUCACUGGGACUGAGACACUGCCCAGACACCUACGGGUGGCUGCAGUCGAGAAUCUUCGGCAAUGGGCGCAAGCCUGACCGAGCGAUGCCGCGUGCGGGAUGAAGGCCUUCGGGUUGUAAACCGCUGUCGAGGGGGAGCAACUUCCAUAGAGUUAUCUUUAUGGAUUGAGUGAUCCCUGGAGGAAGGACGGGCUAAGUUCGUGCCAGCCGCCGCCGUAAGAC
rnacentral:rRNA from 1 species